rnacentral:rRNA from 1 species
UACGUAGGGGGCGAGCGUUGUCCGGAUUUAUUGGGCGUAAAGAGCGUGUAGGCGGUUCGGUAAGUCUGUCGUGAAAUCCUGAGGCUCAACCUCGGGCGUGCGAUGGAUACUGCCGGGCUAGAGGGUGGUAGAGGCGAGUGGAAUUCCCGGUGUAGCGGUGAAAUGCGCAGAUAUCAGGAGGAACACCAGCGGCGAAGGCGGCGCUCUGGGCCGGAACUGACGCUGAGGAGCGAAAGCGUGGGUAGCAAACAGG